AGCUCUGCGAGUUUGCUCCCAUAUUGUUGCAGUUAAAACGCCCGUAGUCUGAAUUGGCCAGCAAUGGCCUUGUGUAUAAUUACGUUCACUGUGAACAAAUCAGGACGCUUAGAGUAUGGUUACAGGAAUGACUCAGCGCAGUAUGAUAUCUUUGUUUUUUUCGGAAAACAAGCUCAAAGAGAGCCAUCGGGGGUAGAUCUAUCCCAUGACGAGUGGUGGAAUACGGUGACUCAUGGGAGAGAAUCGGAGGCGAAGGCGUCUACCUAGAGGGUUUCUG
rnacentral:rRNA from 1 species